GCACCCUUAGCUCAGUUGGCAGAGCAACUGACUCUUAAUCAGUGGGUCCAGGGUUCGAGCCCCUGAGGGUGCA
rnacentral:tRNA from 1 species